rnacentral:rRNA from 1 species
AUGGAUGCUUCGAAUGAGAAGAUCACCUUCGCCAGGCUUGUGCAAAUGUUUAGGAGUAGGGGACUGCUAGAAGAUAGCAUCCACACCACUGUGGAAGAGCAAGUCACCAUGUUUCUCCAUGUUGUUAGUCAUAACCAGAGGUUCAGGGUGGUACACAACACCUUCAGGAGAUCAAUGGAGACAAUCUCCAGGUACUUCAAGCAAGUGUUGUAUGUUGUUGGGGAGCUCAGAGGAGAGAUGAUAAGGUCACCAACUGGCCGGACUCCUACCAAUAUUCGCACUAACCCAAAAUGGUAUCCAUACUUCAAGGAUUGCAUUGGAGCAAUAGAUGGUACUCAUGUCACUACUAGAGUGCCGAGGACACAAGCUGCAGUAUAUAGAGGGAGGAACUACUACACAAGCCAGAAUGUGCUAGCUGUUGUUGACUUCGAUCUGAAGUUCACAUAUGUGUUGGCUAGCUGGGAAGGAUCAACACAUGAUGCUAACAUUUUCAGUGACAGCAUGAGUUGUCAUGAUGGCAUCAACAUCCUCGAUGGCAAGUUUUACCUUAGAGAUGCUGGCUAUGCGUGUCGGCCUAGUGUUCUCCCACCCUUCAGAAAAACCGAGUUUCAUCUGAACAAGUGUGCUGGUGAAGCUUGCUCUUGCAUGUUGCGUUUUCACAAUUGUUUCAUGCAAUGGGGGGUUGAUGAAUUUGUGCCGGAGGAGGAAGAUUUCACUCCUGAUGAGGCGAUCAGCUCCGGCCAUUCUGUGGAGGCGUUCAACAAUGAAGUGUGGAAGAACAAAAGGUUGGAGUGGGCUCAGGUAAUGUGGGAUAACAGAGAUCAGACAAGGAUCUGA